UUUGACCUCAAAUCAUGUAGU
rnacentral:rRNA from 1 species